AUUUAGAGGAAGGAGAAGUCGUAACAAGGUUUCCGUAGGUGAACCUGCGGAAGGAUCAUUGUCGAAGCCUGCCUAACAGAACGACCCGUGAACCUGUAGUUAGCAUGUGGGGGAUGCAUGGUGCGAGCCUUACAUCCUCCCCCAACCCGGGUGACAYUCUUCAAGUAUAUCCUCAGCCUGCCCAGUGCAUGGUUUGUGGCUUUGCUCGAUGUUGUGUCGCCCGGACUAAUAACCAACCCCGGCGCAACCAGCGUCAAGGAACCAAAACGAAUGAUCGUGUGCCCCCCGCAACUCCCUCGAUCCAUCGGGAGAGUAGUGUGGGUUCACACAUCUCURAAUAUCUAUAAGACUCUCGGCAACGGAUAUCUCGGCUCUCGCAUCGAUGAAGAACGUAGCGAAAUGCGAUACUUGGUGUGAAUUGCAGAAUCCCGUGAACCAUUGAGUCUUUGAACGCAAGUUGCGCCCUAGGCCCUACGGUCGAGGGCACGCCUGCCUGGGCGUCACGCAUUGCGACGCUCCCCCAAAUUGCCCCAAAAGGGGCAUAUGGUAAACGAGCGGACACUGGCUUCCCAUGCACCCAGUGGUGUGGUUGGCCCAAAAUAUUGCCCUUGGCAGCGAGCCUCACAGCGUGUGGUGGUUUUUAAUAACUAACCCCUUAUCCAUUGUUGGACACUGUGUCGUCGUCUACCUAAGAGCAUCGAGACCCUAUCAGAGUGCCUUGUUACGGCGUUCUCACUGCGACCCCAGGUCAGGCGGGACUACCCGCUGAGUUUAAGCAU
rnacentral:misc_RNA from 1 species